UCUCUCACAACCUGGAAACCCGGAGAGAGCAGCAAGCAGCAGUUGCCAGAACAAGUUGCCAGAACAAGAGGAUGUUUCCUAUCCCUGGAGAGAAAAGAGAGAAGAGUCUGAGCUGAAUCUUAAAGAGGAGUGGAUCUGUCGGAGGAAAUCUUGGGAGAGGAGGACCAGGAACAGGAGAGAAGAGGAGGAGAAGGAGGGAUAGAAGAGGAGAGGAGGACAGAGCAUGGGCCACUCCUGCUUGUGGAUUUUUAUGCUGUCCCUGUCUCUCUCCCACCAGGAGGUCAUUGCACAGGCAGAAGCAUGUCGGACGGCAGAGCCUGCAGACCUUGUGUUCUUGGUGGAUGAGUCGUGGGGCGUGGGCCAGACCAGCUUCUCCUGGGUUAAAGACUUCAUCUCGGCCAUCAUUCAUUCCUUUCAGGACAGCGUGGUGGGGUCCGAGGGCAUUCGCUUUG